UUUGCGCGGAAAAUAUAACGGGGCUAAAGUAAGUACCGAAGCUGUAGACUUGCGCACAACUUAGAUUAUUUAAGUUUAGAAUAUGAGAAACUAAGUUAUAUGUUUAGUUAUAUUUUUACUGAUUUUUAUAGAGUAAAGAUAGAAAUAAAACUUAGUAAAAUCAGUAAAAAUAUUCUUAGACUAAAGUUAAGUAGUUUAAGUUGUGUGCAAGUGGUAGGAGAGCGUUCUAUUUGCGUCGAAGGUAUACCGGUAAGGAGUGCUGGAGCGAAUAGAAGUGAGCAUGCAGGCAUGAGUAGCGAUAAUUAAUGUGAGAAUCAUUAACGCCGUAAACCCAAGGUUUCCUACGCGAUGCUCGUCAUCGUAGGGUUAGUCGGGUCCUAAGUCGAGUCCGAAAGGGGUAGACGAUGGCAAAUUGGUUAAUAUUCCAAUACCAACAUUAGUGUGCGAUGGAAGGACGCUUAGGGCUAAGGGGGCUAGCGGAUGGAAGUGCUAGUCUAAGGUCGUAGGAGGUUAUACAGGCAAAUCCGUAUAACAAUACUCCGAGAACUGAAAGGCUUUUUGAAGUCUUCGGAUGGAUAGAAGAACCCCUGAUGCCGUCGAGCCAAGAAAAGUUUCUAAGUUUAGCUAAUGUUGCCCGUACCGUAAACCGACACAGGUGGGUGGGAUGAGUAUUCUAAGGCGCGUGGAAGAACUCUCUUUAAGGAACUCUGCAAAAUAGCACCGUAUCUUCGGUAUAAGGUGUGGUUAGCUUUGUAUUAGGAUUUACUCCGAAAGCAAGGAAACUUACAACAAAGAGUCCCUCCCGACUGUUUACCAAAAACACAGCACUCUGCUAACUCGUAAGAGGAUGUAUAGGGUGUGACGCCUGCCCGGUGCUCGAAGGUUAAUUGAUGGGGUUAGCAUUAGCGAAGCUCUUGAUCGAAGCCCGAGUAAACGGCGGCCGUAACUAUAACGGUCCUAAGGUAGCGAAAUUCCUUGUCGGUUAAAUACCGACCUGCAUGAAUGGCGUAACGAGAUGGGAGCUGUCUCAAAGAGGGAUCCAGUGAAAUUGUAGUGGAGGUGAAAAUUCC
rnacentral:rRNA from 1 species